rnacentral:lncRNA from 1 species
CACUUUUCAGAUGGUUUUCGUCAAAAAUGAAAGUGGCCGCAUCCGUAUUCAUCCUCAACCUUUAUAUAUGAUAUGUAUUAUCAUCAAAUACAACUUACAUUUCAAUAUUAUGAAUGAACACGAAUGCAGCCACUUUCAUUUAAGACGGAAACCGUCUAAAAUUUAACUAAAAUGCUAUAAUUGUGAAGAUUUCAGUAAUUUAGCAUGACUUUAUGAUGCUAGUACAUGUACACAAUAUAUGUGCAUUGUAUUGUCAAAAACAGCACAUAUUUAUGUAGCAGAAGCAUUCUACUUUCCAAAAAAUAGCUAAAAGAUGACAUUUUCACAAUUUUACAAAACUGCUUAAUUUUGGGGCCAAAAAGGGGACUUACUGAACCUACUCCUUUUCUAUAGGGAUAUAUGCAGACUUAAGUAAAUACAUGUGACAAUAUUUUUUUCUCAAUUUAAUCCACGAAAAAUUUGUAUCAACAAAAACUAUGAAUCCCCAGUAGCCAAGGUAGUACAAAUGUAUAAUGUGAUAAUGAUUAUAAAAAAUAUUUUUAAUUACUAAAAGGUUGACAUUGUAAAGAAUGCAUUUUAUUUUGAUCGGUGUAGUACAAACAAAAAUAUACUAGUAAACGUCCCCCAAUUAUUACCUAAAGACAAAUAAAAUACAUGUUUUCUGAUCUUUGGUCGGGUUGUUGUCUCGUGGACAUAUUCCCCAUUUCCAUUCUCAAUUUUAUUGUGUAUUUCUAGAAUAACAUGAAUAAGCAAAACAGUGAACAAAAAUUGUCCAAGAGAAAUGCAGAAAAUGCUCUUAAUCUUUAGUAUCACCAAAAUCAAAUAUUAUGUCCUUGCAAGCAAUUUUAAAUGAGUGGAUUUAAAAUGAUCACUAAGUCCUUUAGUUCAACACGUACCAGUAUUUAAGUACAUGUAGCAUUGCAGAUAAAAAUCAAGACUAUAUUUAGCUGUUGUAACAUCUAUAAAAAGACUUUCCCUCGUGAAAUUUCCAUAGUCACAUCUAACAAGUUCUUUAAUAGAUAUUGUAAUAAGAAAUUAAAUAAGAUGCCAAGCUUUAUAUUUUCUAAAGAGACUUGUGAAUAAAUCAAACAUAAACAAUUAACGAUAUGUCAUCAUUUCCUUAAAUUAGAAAGAAUGUAAAGAUAUGAUAAAAGACAACCAUUGAUAAGAUUACUGACAUUGGACAUGUUGGACAUGAAUAUAUUUGUCUUUGAGUGUCAGUUCAUAAGUUGUAUUUGAUGGUUGUAGUGUGUUCUUAUAUGGUUGGGACUAUAUUUACACUUCUGUCAUAGUGGUUAAGUACAUUUAGAGUGCCUAAGCAUAAUUGUCAAACAUUUUCCAAAGUGUACAAAACAUACACUUUUUCAGUUUCGCUUAAUAACUUUUUUGAUCUGAGCGUCACUGAUGAGUCUUAUGUAGACUAAAGGCAGGUUUGGCGUAUUAAAUUAUAAUCCUGGUACCUUUGAUAACUUAUUUCAGACCCCCAUCCUCCCUCAAAAAGUGUCUGUCAACCAUUUUCCAAAUUUCAAGACAAGAAUCAUUUAUUCAUAAUGAAAAGAAGAUUAUAUCAAUUAUAUUUUUUUUUAAUAUAGAAAUUUGCAUUGAAAAUGAACUGAAAUACAAAUGUAUCUGACAUAUAUUCCAAAAAUUAAUUUAAAAAAAAAGUGUAUGGUAAAAAUGUUGAUUUUUUUUACCCCCUCCUCCCAAGUGUACGUUUUGUACACUUUGGAAAAAGGAUGACCCCUAAAUGUAUUCAUCCUCUUUUUGUAAUCUUAAGUGUUGAAUCAGCAUUUUAUUCAUUUCAUUCUAUGUUUAACCUGAAGAAAUGCUGAGGCAUUGAAUAUAAAUGUGUAAAUUUUUUUAAUUUUUUUGAUAGUUAUAUUAUAUUAACAUUGUAAACCUAGACUUAAAUUACUUGGAAAACUGCAUAGAUUUUGUUCUGUCUGUAGCUUAAACAUGGUGUGGCUAUUCUUCCAUAUUAUAAUAUAUUAACCUCAAUUUUAUAUAAGGUAGGUUAAUCUUUCUUCAUUUAGUGCCAUCAUUUCUUUAAUUAAAUCAUUGUAAUUUCCAUCUUUGCUAGCAAUGGUUUGGAGAGGAGAGGAGGGCACUUAAUCGUAACCCUUGGCUAACAAAGAUGACUCAUUUCCAACUAAUCUUUUCAUGCUUAUUAUGUACAUUUUUACAAUCAUAUGCAUGUGACAUGUGUGAUAUGUCAUGUGUUUGCUGAUUAUUUUAUAAAAAUGAUAAUUUUUUAUUUUGAUUAUUGUGUCAAAUCUUUGCCAAAUUGUGAAAAGAUUAUGAUUCAUUAUCAUACAACAUUAAUGAUUUGCAUCAUUAAAGUAAAGACAACACACAAAUAUUGUGGAUGUAAAUCUAUUCAUUAUGGAUGUAUAAUAGAUAUUAUAUCUAUUCAUUAUGGAUGUAUAUCUAUUCAUUAUGGAUGUAUAGCUGUUCAUUUUGGAUGUAUAUCUAUUCAUUAUGGAUGUAUAUCUAUUCAUUAUGGAUGUAUAUCUAUUCAUUUUGGAUGUAUAUCUAUUCAUUAUGGAUGUAUAUCUAUUCAUUAUGGAUGUAUAGCUGUUCAUUAUGGAUGUAUAUCUAUUCAUUAUGGAUGUAUAGCUGUUCAUUAUGGAUGUAUAGCUGUUCAUUAUGGAUGUAAUAUCUAUUCAUUAUUAUGGAUGUAUAUCUAUUGGAUGUAUUCUAUUCAUUAAUGGAUGUAUAUCUAUUCAUUAUGGAUGUAUAGCUUGUUCAUUAUGGAUGUAUAUCUAUUCAUUUUGGAUGUAUAUCUAUUUAUUAUGGAUGUAUAGCUGUUCAUUAUGGAUGUAUAUCUAUUCAUUAUGGAUGUAUAUCUAUUCAUUAUGGAUGUAUAGCUGUUCAUUUUGGAUGUAUAUCUAUUCAUUAUGGAUGUAUAGCUGUUCAUUAUGGAUGUAUAUCUAUUCAUUUUGGAUGUAUAUCUAUUCAUUAUGGAUGUAUAUCUAUUCAUUUUGGAUGUAUAUCUAUUCAUUUUGGAUGUAUAUCUAUUCAUUAUGGAUGUAUAUCUAUUCAUUAUGGAUGUAUAGCUGUUCUUUAUGGAUGUAUAUCUAUUCAUUAUGGAUGUAUAGCUGUUCUUUAUGGAUGUAUAUCUAUUCAUUAUGGAUAUUUCUUGAAAAAAGUACUUUUUUAUUAAGCUUUUACAACAGUUUAAAGCAACAGUUAAUAUGGUUAAAGAAAAAUAUAUGCUUGAUCUGAAGUCUUAGUAUUUCAGAUUUAUACUAUUGGUUUUCAGAUGAAGAUGAUAUAGGUCAAAGUUUAGGACUAAAAGUAUGAGCUUCUUAACAUACAUCUUUCAAACAAAUCUAGCAUUAGAUUUUCUCAUCUUUUUUUUUAUUAUCUUUAUUAAAGAUUUAGUCAUGAAGCCGUAACUUAAAUAUAGCAAAUACAAACUUCAUUUGAAAUUAAUUUGUCUCUCAUUUAUAAAAUCCUGAACAUCAACAAAUAAAUUGGAAUCAUUUGAUCAAGAAGAUAUCAAUAAUCUAGAAUCAUAUAAGCGAAUUUUCUUUUAGAUAUACAGAGAAAGAAUAGCUAAGCAUUGGUAAAUAUAAAGUUCCUGCAUGUUCACUGUGGUCUAUAUUUGUGUCAUUCAAAAUUAUAUAUUUACAUACGUAACAAACUAAAGGAGGAUCAUUGUAGUUAUCCUACUUUUUAUCAAGGAUUUGUAUAGUAACUUACUAUACAAAUCCUUGCUUUUAUAAAUAUCAAAGAAUUCAAUUGCUUGUUCAAUGUCACAUGCUGGCUGUGUAUAUUUGAUAUUAGAGUGUAUACAAUAGUUAAUGUUAUAAGAUCUGUCAAAUAUUCAAAGUAAGUAAAAGAUAAAUAGCAUAUGUUACUCAUGUUUUUUUUUCAUAGUAUCUGUCAGUGGGGUAUACAUAUUACAUAGUUCAUUAUUGACCUAAUAGCAAGGUGUUCUUGAAUUCCAAGAUUUAAAGAAAAUGUAUUGAUCUUUUAACAUAAAAUGUAUUAAUCAUUUCUUUGAGUUGAAAUUGCAAAUAUUGGAUAUAAUUGUGGUUCUUUGAUCUUAUUUAUUAGAUAUAAUUGAUCUGACCUGGGAAUAUUUCAACAAAAUAACUGUUACACCCACAUAAUGCUAUCUUUAAAUUUAUAUGGAGAUUCAAGCUACACAUUUACAAAAUUUGAAAUAAAAUAAGUGUGUAUAUACACAGGCACUCGUCUCAGAAAAAAAUAUUUGUUAUAUAAAGGUAUAUAGGAAUUUUUUUCUGAGACGAUUGCCUGCACGUGUGUAUAUACCUUAUUAGGUCACAGGUGGAUUGUGUAAUAUAUUGGUUAUGAGACAUUCAAAACUAGUUAGCUUCAAGCAAAAAAUAUAGAUAACAUGCCCCAGGGGAAAUCUUUAAAGUAUUUCAGAUCUUUAUGUACAGCAACAAUUGUUUUCUUUCUCAAACAGUUGAAACUACAAUUUCAAGAUAAAGAAGUAUUUGGUAUUGUCAUUUUAUAUUACUUUUCAUUGUAAUUAAACAUAAGAAUUGCUGAGUUUCAGUCAAUAUACAUGUAGUGGGAGGGGCAAAAGGUUAGAAAUAAUAGAAUUGGUCCAUGGUACAACACCUAUUUGUGAAAUACAGAAAUCGAGAGCCGCAUAUUUUAUGCUAUUAAAAGGUCUGUUGAAAAAGGAUAAAUCCAGAUGAUAUAAAGAUGACUUGUUGGGGAGAGUUAUACAAGUAUUUGGCCCUUUUGACAAUUUCUUUAUUUUGUGUUAUCUUUGUAAUCACAACACAUUAUGUAUUUUGUCAGAAAAUUAAAAUACAACAAAGGUUAUGUUCUGUUCCCUUUUAUAGAUUUUCCCUGGGUAUUUUAUCGCAAAAAAAAUCAUGAUGUGAAAUAUUAUAUUUAAUAUUUAAUCUAAUUCUGAUAACCUGAAAGGUAUAUAUAUAUAUAUAUAUAUGUUAAUUACUGAAUUUGUUUUAUUUAUAUUUUUUUCUGUUUUAUUUUUUUGUUUUGAUUAAAUAUAUUUGAUUGAUA